CUUCUCCUGGAGCCUGGUGAUCUCCUCCUCCUUCUUCUUGACGUCGGAUUUCUUGGACAUCUUGGUGGGCUGGUAGUAGAGCACGAUGAGGUAGCGGUUGGCGACGUUGAAGCCGGAGAGGUGGUCGACGGCGUUCUUGGCGUCGUAGAUGUCCUCGUAGACGACGUAGGCGGUGCCGCGCGUGUCCUUGGCGUUGCCCAGCCGGAUCUGCCGGAUCGCGCCGUACUUGCCGAAGAUGUCGUACAUCUCCUCGCUCGAGAUGUUGAACGGCAGGUUCCGCACGUAGAGCACCCGGUUCACCUCCGGCGGGAGACGCGCGUUCCCCUUCCGCAUGCCCACCGCCGCCAUCGCCGCCGCGCCGAGCUCGCCUAGGGUUUGGGGAUUGGGGGUUUCUCGGAUUUGGGGGCGGUUUGCUUGCUGCGCGUAGCCGCCUGCCUCUCUCGCGUCUUCGUUGCCUUAUUGG
rnacentral:lncRNA from 1 species